rnacentral:tRNA from 1 species
ACCGCGAUAGCUCAUCUGGUAGAGCGUCUGCUCGGUAUGCAGACGGUGUCAGGUUCAAUUCCGCCUCGCGGCU